rnacentral:rRNA from 1 species
CUUGGUCAUUUAGAGGAAGUAAAAGUCGUAACAAGGUCUCCGUAGGUGAACCUGCGGAGGGAUCAUUACACAAAUAUGAAGGCGGGCUGGAACCUCUCGGGGUUACAGCCUUGCUGAAUUAUUCACCCUUGUCUUUUGCGUACUUCUUGUUUCCUUGGUGGGUUCGCCCACCACUAGGACAAACAUAAACCUUUUGUAAUUGCAAUCAGCGUCAGUAACAAAUUAAUAAUUACAACUUUCAACAACGGAUCUCUUGGUUCUGGCAUCGAUGAAGAACGCAGCGAAAUGCGAUAAGUAGUGUGAAUUGCAGAAUUCAGUGAAUCAUCGAAUCUUUGAACGCACAUUGCGCCCUUUGGUAUUCCAAAGGGCAUGCCUGUUCGAGCGUCAUUUGUACCCUCAAGCUUUGCUUGGUGUUGGGCGUCUUGUCUCUAGCUUUGCUGGAGACUCGCCUUAAAGUAAUUGGCAGCCGGCCUACUGGUUUCGGAGCGCAGCACAAGUCGCACUCUCUAUCAGCAAAGGUCUAGCAUCCAUUAAGCCUUUUUUUCAACUUUUGACCUCGGAUCAGGUAGGGAUACCCGCUGAACUUAAGCAUAUCAAUAAGCGGAGGAAAUGUCUCCGCGGCCGCC